AGGAGCAACAGCCCCAGUGGCGGGGCCAGCUCUGCAGCCCUGGAUUCAGCCCCCGCAGGAACUCCGGAGCUCUCUGUCUGCAGGGCCUGGAGGCUCCGGGCGGGG
rnacentral:pre_miRNA from 1 species